rnacentral:lncRNA from 1 species
CGAAAUAAAUUUUAAUCUUUCAGUUUCGACCAUAUUUGGUCACCGAAAGCUCUACCGAAUUGAAAUCUCUAGCAGAUAGCAGUCGGAUUUUAUUUUUCACUUUCCGAAUGUCAGAAUGACAUGAAACUUUAAAUUUAGCCUCAUAAAAAUAAUUCUGACAUACUCUUCAGUUUUCAUAAUUUUCUAACACUGUGCAUUUUCUGUUAAAAUAUUAGUCUCGUCUCUUACAGAAAAUUUUAAAUUUUCUGUUUUCGUUCCGAUUUCAGCACAAGUCAUUUCUGACUUAUAUUUUACUUCACUAAAUCCAAUAAAAAUAGUAUCUCACACUAUUUUUUUUUUUUUACUUUUAUAUCAAAAUCCGGUAUGUUAUAGGGGACGAUGCCGGGGUUAGGGUUACAGCCAGGGAAGAGGGGCCCGAGGCUUGUGGAUCUUGUUAAGGAUUUUGUAUUGGCAAGUUUCAUGAAGUGAGUCAGAGUCUUGAAGGAUCGAAGCGGAUUGACAAAAAUCGAAGAAUCACGAUGCUCAGGUAAAGUUUUAAUUCAUGUUAUGGUGAUUCAUACUUAGUUAUAGGCAUUAGAAUCAUAAA